UUGAUAUUUAAAUUACCUCAUUCACUGUCACUUUUUUAAUUUCUUUUCGAUUAGAUGUCUUUGUAGUAAAAUUAAAAUUUUCUAGAUUUUUGUUUAUUUGAAAUCCCCAGUUUGUGUAAGGUAAAAGAACAUGCCAAAACGUAAAAACAAAACUCAGAUUUUAAAAGAAAUGUUGGUUGAAAGUACUGCCUUUCGAAAGCCGCCAGAAACUAGGGAAAUUCCGGGGGUAAAACGACGAUCGCCAAUGGUACCAGUAGCGCCCUAAAAGGAAAAGACAACCUUGCGCUUUAAAACCCAGUGUUCUUCGCUGGAUUUGCCAUUUGCCACUUGCCGAAAAGUGUUUGGCUACUAAGGAGGCGAUGGUUAUGUAUGUCAACCCGAACUUCAACAAUUGCGGCAGUCAAACCAUUUGCCAUGAGGCAGAUUGCCCAAAAGUUACGAGUUCCCCCAAGUCCAAACCCAAAAAAAAUCCCUAACUAAAAAAGGACUUAACAGGACUCUUUCUUUUGGUUAUCAUACUUAAUAAAUAGCUGAACAUUUCAUGAGUCCAUGUCCCAGGAUUAACGAUCAAUUCUUAUCCUUUUCGAUCUCUCUUAAGUCCUGUGAAAAGGCUUUUAUUUUGUAUACACUUGUGAAUAAAUGAGUAAAUAAAGCUUUCUGGAAAAAUGGUAAGCCAGAUUUUAA